rnacentral:rRNA from 1 species
AUUGAACGCUGGCGGCAGGCCUAACACAUGCAGGUCGAGCGGGGUUUUCGGACCUAGCGGCGGACGGGUGAGUAAUGCGUAGGAAGCUACCCGAUAGAGGGGGAUACCAGUUGGAAACGACUGUUAAUACCGCAUAAUGUCUACGGACCAAAGUGUGGGACCUUCGGGCCACAUGCUAUCGGAUGCGCCGACGUGGGAUUAGCUAGUUGGUGGGGUAAUGGCUCACCAAGGCGACGAUCCCUAGCUGGUUUGAGAGGAUGAUCAGCCACACUGGAACUGAGACACGGUCCAGACUCCUACGGGAGGCAGCAGUGGGGAAUAUUGGACAAUGGGCGCAAGCCUGAUCCAGCCAUGCCGCGUGUGUGAAGAAGGCCUUCGGGUUGUAAAGCACUUUCAGUAGGGAGGAAGAGUUGAGUGUUAAUAGUACUCAGCUUUGACGUUACCUACAGAAGAAGCACCGGCUAACUCUGUGCCAGCCGCCGCCGUAACAC